rnacentral:rRNA from 1 species
AUGAAUGCUGGCGGCGUGGAUAAGGCAUGCAAGUCGAACGGUGCAGGGUAGCAAUACUCUGCAUAGUGGCGAACGAGUUAGUAACACCUUGGUACAUACCUCGAAGUCGGGCACAACUAGUCGAAAGAUUAGCUAAUUCCCGAUAGUCCCGAAAGGGUAAAGUCGCAAGACGCUUUGAGAGUGGCCUAGGUCCUAUCAGCUUGUUGGCGGGGUAAAAGCCCACCAAGGCUAUGACGGGUAGGGGGCGUGAGAGCGCGACCCUCAACGACGAAACUGAGAUACGGUUCGUACACCUACGGGUGGCAGCAGUCGAGAAUAUUCGACAAUGGGCGAAAGCCUGAUCGAGCGACGCCGCGUGCGGGAAGAAGUCCUUAGGGAUGUAAACCGCUUUUGUUAGGGAAGAAUUUUGACGGUACCUGACGAAUAAGGGGUUGCUAACUCUGU